GUAGCUUGCUACCAGGCGUCGAGCGGCGGACGGGUGAGUAAUACUUAGGAAUCUACCUAGUAGUGGGGGAUAGCACGGGGAAACUCGUAUUAAUACCGCAUACGACCUACGGGAGAAAGGGGGCAGUUUACUGCUCUCGCUAUUAGAUGAGCCUAAGUCGGAUUAGCUAGAUGGUGGGGUAAAGGCCUACCAUGGCGACGAUCUGUAGCUGGUCUGAGAGGAUGAUCAGCCACACCGGGACUGAGACACGGCCCGGACUCCUACGGGAGGCAGCAGUGGGGAAUAUUGGACAAUGGGGGAAACCCUGAUCCAGCCAUGCCGCGUGUGUGAAGAAGGCCUUUUGGUUGUAAAGCACUUUAAGCAGUGAAGAAGACUCCGUGGUUAAUACCCACGGACGAUGACAUUAGCUGCAGAAUAAGCACCGGCUAACUCUGUGCCAGCAGCCGCGGUAAUACAGAGGGUGCAAGCGUUAAUCGGAAUUACUGGGCGUAAAGCGAGCGUAGGUGGCUUGAUAAGUCAGAUGUGAAAUCCCCGGGCUUA
rnacentral:rRNA from 1 species